UCAAUAUAAUCAAUAUAAAUUGCUCAAAUUUCCAUUUUUGUUCAUAUUAAUUUUAAAAAUUUCCCAUUUGUAGUAUUGUUUUAUUAUUCAGUUGUUGCAUUAAAAAAACGUUCCUAAUUUCAGAAAAGUAUUCACUUUUUAAGAGGAAAAUACUAUUAUGUGGGGUGGCAUGGUGACACAGUGGUACAGUACAGGGACUAGGGUUCAUGUCCCAGGUGCUCCUUGCAUAGAGUUUGCAUGUUCUUGCCAUGUCUGCAUAGGUUUCUGUGGUAAAGCACAUUGUCAAAACACUGCGCUCUGCCUCUAGGUGCGAGCACAUGGUUGUGGCCUUAUGCAGACGCAGGGUGUUCUGUGUGGAGGCAAGCUUAUUGCUUGAUUUAGGCCAAGAGUUCCACAUUGGCACUCCGUGGAUAGUAAUCAUCUCCCCAGUAGUGUAGCUGCUUCCCUACUGAACUGUUAGUUUUUUUGUAGAAUGUUAUACUCUUAACAGCUUACUGAGUCACACUUCACAUACUACACAUCUCUAUUUGUGAGGAUUAAAAAUGUGCAAACGUUGCUAAUCUGAAUUAAGAUUAAGAUUUUAUCAAAUCUGAAAUAUAAAAAACAAGUUUGAGGAAAGUUAAAAUUUGCAAUAAUAUUUUAAUUCAAAAAAGUAUCUACUCUGAACUGCCUAUGAAAUGUAUUUCUCAUUGAUUUGAUCUUCUAUGAAAACAGACAUAAUCUUGAUACUUUAAAGCUUGUAUGUUCAGUUUUACUUUUCACUUGUGAAAGAAAGAAACCCAGCAGUCAAAUGAGUAUCACAGAAAAAGUACAGGGGGUGCCUUGUGUUUGAUGAUUUGAUUAAGUAAAGAAUCUGAUUAUUACUUAUUAUAUUUAAUAGUUUAGGUAGAAUAAGUCAAUAAAAAAACUAUAUUUUGAAGUUAAAAACCUUUUAGACAUUGAAAAUACUUAAAGUGAUGGUUCUUUUGUCUUUCCUUAGAUGAGAAACGCAAUAGCUUUGCUAGCUAAUUCUAUGAUGUGUCAGAUUUCCAUAAUUAAUACUAAAUAGAAGGGUGUUGAUUGUACAUAAAAGGCACUUUUACUUUAAAACCUGAAAUGAUUUGGUGCCUUUUUGAAUCUGAUUUUGGCUUAGAGUGAGUCUUGGACCACUUUACUUUCAUGCUCAAGUAAGGGCAGCCUUAUAAUUGUUAUGCUACACAAAGAGAGUCUAACUCUAUACCAGGAGUGGCCAUGUUCAUUCUAAGUUUCUUCAGAUGCUGUGUUUGAAUUCCUUAGUGAAUUGAACUCUGAUGGUUGUUGAAAUAGUGAAUUUCUCAGUUCAGUUUUGAAAUUAUAUCCCACAAAAUUUAAACACUGUCUUAGAGACUCUAACACUGUUGACAAAAUGGCACAUUUUCCACACUACGCAAAGAUCAAUGAUAAGAUGCUAGUGUGCAAAUCUGAUUCACAUUUAUACCUAUGCACUUUUCUUCUCAAGAUCCUAAAAUGCUUUAGUAAAUAUAUUAAUCAUAAAUUUUUAUUUAAUACUGUACAAUUAUUACUCCAAAACCUCUGUUUAUACAUUUAUAAGAAUAUAAAAUAUUUCAUAUAUGAGAAGAAACUUCCAUUUUUCAGGCUUGGAUAACAACUAUAUUUAUCAGUACAAAUAAUGCUGUCUUUAAAAAAAAAAUUCCUGAAACUUAUUUUACUGAAUACCAUAUGAUUAUUUUUGUUUUUUGUUUCAAUCAUAUUUUGCUGUCAUUUUCUUUUGUUUUACUCAACAGUUGAAAUAAAUGUUUUUGGUGAACACAGAACCUGUGGUGUGGGACGUAUUUUCCUUAAUAAACUAUCUGACAAGCUGCAGCGUAAAGGUUUCUCACUUUCUGAAGUCAAUGAUUCUGAUUUCAAAAAACUGCUCCUGGUUUUCUGCCCAGUCAUCUCUCGAAUAGGAACUGAUAUUAAUGCAACGCUUUCCGAAACUAAAGGUUUUGAACAUGUUAUUCUAGUGGUCAUGCAUCACACGCCAAAUCCUGAAUAUGUAAUGAUAGACAGCGGCAGGUUUAUUGAAAGUCCAAAUGUAAUAUUAACUGUGGACUGUGUUUUUCAUGAAAAAGUUGGUUUGCUGGAAAGUAAGUGUAAUGAAGUUGCUUUAGAAAAGAUUUUCACCUGUCUCACUGAAUUAUGAAAUUAAUAGUGAAGGAUCAUGACAUACAACAAGAAUGAUGCAUCCAAGGGAUGGUCUCAGAAAACUGAAUUAUCAACAUCAUGAAUGACAUAAAGAGAAGAUGUUGUUUUCAUGAAGACUUCUAUACUUUAAGAAAUGUCCCUCUGUAAUGAUGGGUUGUGGUACACAGUUUUUGCUUUACCAUUCAUCAGUUUAUUUUUGUGAUAGCAACAUGAUUCAUAUGAAUGAUUUUAUAAAGACUAAUCUUUCAUCCCUCUCUCUGUGGUUUUGUUUCAUCUUGUUCAAAACUCUCAGUAUUAUUGGCAAGAGUGUCUCUUGGACUUUAAUUUUAAUAAAAGGUUUAUGGUGUG